rnacentral:rRNA from 1 species
AUUGAACGCUGGCGGCAGGCUUAACACAUGCAAGUCGAACGAGGGGCGGACGGGUGAGUAAUGUAUGGGGAUCUGCCUGAUGGAGGGGGAUAACUACGGGAAACGGUAGCUAAUACCGCAUACUAUAGGAUGAACCCAUGGGGGAUUAGCUAGUUGGUGGGGUAAAGGCUUACCAGGGCGACGAUCUCUAGCUGGUCUGAGAGGAUGACCAGCCACACGGGGACUGAGACACGGCCCAGACUCCUACGGGAGGAAGCAGUGGGGAAUAGUGCGCAAUGGUGGCAAGCCUGAUGCAGCCAUGCCGCGUGAAUGAAGAAGGCCUUAGGGUUGUAAAGUUCUUUCAGUAGGGAGGCGUUACCUGCAGAAGAAGCACCGGCUAACUCCGUGCCAGCAGCCGCGGUAAUUC